AUCGCUGGCAUCUCAGAAGUAGCAUGUGUAGCUCGAUAGAGAGUGAGGGAGAGAGAGAGAUGGAGAGUGGGGGAGAGAUUGU